CCCGUUCGUAAAGAAGGCGACUCCCCUUUCCGGGUCGAGAUGUGUAGGUGCUGCAUGGUUGUCGUCAGCUCGUGCCGUGAGGUGUCGGCUUAAGUGCCAUAACGAGCGCAACCCUCAUCAUUAGUUACCAUCAGGUAAGGCUGGGGACUCUAAUGAGACUGCCAUCGUAAGAUGUGAGGAAGGUGGGGAUGACGUCAAAUCAGCACGGCCCUUACGUCCGGGGCGACACACGUGUUACAAUGGGUGGUACAAAGGGCAGCUACCUGGCGACAGGAUGCUAAUCUCGAAAACCGCUCUCAGUUCGGAUCGGAGUCUGCAACUCGACUCCGUGAAGCUGGAUUCGCUAGUAAUCGCGCAUCAGCCACGGCGCGGUGAAUACGUUCCCGGGCCUU
rnacentral:rRNA from 1 species